ACAGGUAGCAAUACUGGGUGGCGACCGGCGGACGGGUGCGUAACACGUAUGCAACUUACCCUGUACUGGGAAAUAGCCCGGAGAAAUCCGGAUUAAUGUCCCAUAACAUCAGAAGAGACAUCUCUUUUGGUUGAAAGUUCCGGCGGUACAGGAUGGGCAUGCGCUCGAUUAGCUUGUUGGUGAGGUAACGGCUCACCAAGGCGACGAUCGAUAGGGGGCCUGAGAGGGUGAUCCCCCACACUGGUACUGAGACACGGACCAGACUCCUACGGGAGGCAGCAGUAAGGAAUAUUGGUCAAUGGAGGCAACUCUGAACCAGCCAUGCCGCGUGCAGGAAGACGGCCCUAUGGGUUGUAAACUGCUUUUGUACCAGAGAAAACCCCUUUACGUGUAAAGGGUUGAUAGUAUGGUAAGAAUAAGCAUCGGCUAACUUCGUGCCAGCAGCCGCGGUAAGACGAAGGAUGCAAGCGUUAUCCGGAUUCAUUGGGUUUAAAGGGUGCGUAGGCGGACUUGUAAGUCAGUGGUGAAAUCUCUCAGCUUAACUGAGAAACUGCCAUUGAUACUGCAGGUCUAGAGUAUAGAUGACGUUGGCGGAAUAUGACAUGUAGUGGUGAAAUACUUAGAUAUGUCAUAGAACACCGAUUGCGAAGGCAGCUAACGAAACUAUAACUGACGCUGAGGCACGAAAGUGCGGGGAUCAAACAGGAUUAGAUACCCUGGUAGUCCGCACCGUAAACGAUGAUUACUCGUUGUUGGCGAUAUGACAGUCAGCGACCAAGCGAAAGCGAUAAGUAAUCCACCUGGGGAGUACGCCGGCAACGGUGAAACUCAAAGGAAUUGACGGGGGCCCGCACAAGCGGAGGAGCAUGUGGUUUAAUUCGAUGAUACGCGAGGAACCUUACCUGGGCUUGAAAGUUAGUGACCGUCCCUGAAAGGGGAUUUUCCGCAAGGACACGAAACUAGGUGCUGCAUGGCUGUCGUCAGCU
rnacentral:rRNA from 1 species